CUCAAACAUACUGACACGCCACCAACUGACAGAUUCACUCACUGAAACACUGACAAACUGAUACACUCACUCACUGAAACACUGACACACUGACACAUCCACUCACUGAAAUACUGACAAACUGAUACAUUCACUCACUGAAACACUGACACACUGACACACUCACUCACUGAAACACUGACAAACUGACACAUUCACUCACUGAAACACUAACAAACGGAUACAUUCACUCACUGAAACACUGACACACUCAC